AAUAUUGGUCAAUGGGUGCAACCGUGAUCCAGCCAGGCCGCUUUAUUGAAGAAGGUCUUCUGUUUGUAAAGCACUUCUUGUUGGGAGAUAUGCCCCUAGACUAAUACCCUGAAGUUGUGACGUUACCAACAGAAUGAGUACCGGCUAUCUCUAUGCUAGCAGCCGCGGUAAUACAGAGGGUGCAAGCGUUAAUCGGAAUUACUGGGCGUAAAGCGAGCGUAGGUGGUUCAGUAAGAUGGGUGUGAAAUCCCCGGGCUUAACCUGGGAACUGCUUUCAUAACUGCUGAGCUAGAGUACGGUAGAGGGUAGUGGAAUUUCCUGUGUAGCGGUGAAAUGCGUAGAUAUAGGAAGGAACACCAGUGGCGAGGGCGACUACCUGGACUGAUACUGACACUGAGGUGCGAAAGCGUGGGGAGCAAAC
rnacentral:rRNA from 1 species